AUAAAGUCGGGUAUGGAUACCCGUUUGCAUGUNCUUUAUGAAUAAGGAUCGGCUAACUCCGUGCCAGCAGCCGCGGUAAUACGGAGGAUCCGAGCGUUAUCCGGAUUUAUUGGGUUUAAAGGGAGCGUAGAUGGAUGUUUAAGUCAGUUGUGAAAGUUUGCGGCUCAACCGUAAAAUUGCAGUUGAUACUGGAUAUCUUGAGUGCAGUUGAGGCAGGCGGAAUUCGUGGUGUAGCGGUGAAAUGCUUAGAUAUCACGAAGAACUCCGAUUGCGAAGGCAGCCUGCUAAGCUGCAACUGACAUUGAGGCUCGAAAGUGUGGGUAUCAAACAGGAUUAGAUACCCUGGUAGUCCACACGGUAAACGAUGAAUACUCGCUGUUUGCGAUAUACAGCAAGCGGCCAAGCGAAAGCGUUAAGUAUUCCACCUGGGGAGUACGCCGGCAACGGUGAAACUCAAAGGAAUUGACGGGGGCCCGCACAAGCGGAGGAACAUGUGGUUUAAUUCGAUGAUACGCGAGGAACCUUACCCGGGCUUAAAUUGCAGAUGAAUUACGGUGAAAGCCGUAAGCCGCAAGGCAUCUGUGAAGGUGCUGCAUGGUUGUCGUCAGCUCGUGCCGUGAGGUGUCGGCUUAAGUGCCAUAACGAGCGCAACCCUUGUUGUCAGUUACUAACAGGUUCCGCUGAGGACUCUGACAAGACUGCCAUCGUAAGAUGUGAGGAAGGUGGGGAUGACGUCAAAUCAGCACGGCCCUUACGUCCGGGGCUACACACGUGUUACAAUGGGGGGGUACAGAGGGCCGCUACCACGCGAGUGGAUGCCAAUCCCCAAAACCUCUCUCAGUUCGGACUGGAGUCUGCAACCCGACUCCACGAAGCUGGAUUCGCUAGUAAUCGCGCAUCAGCCACGGCGCGGUGAAUACGUUCCCGGGCCUUGUACACACCGCCCGUCAAGCCAUGGGAGCCGGGGGUACCUGAAGUGCGUAACCGCGAGGAGCGCCCUAGGGUAAAACUGGUGACUGGGGCUAAGUCGUAACAAGGUAA
rnacentral:rRNA from 1 species